AUGCUCGCUUUGGCAACACAUAUACUAAAAUUGGAAUGAUACAGAGAAAAUUAGCAUGGACACUGAGUAAGGAUGACAGGCAAACGUGUGAAGCAUUCCAUAUUUAA
ensembl:snRNA U6 U6 spliceosomal RNA